ACGGAAGAAGCUGUGCUUUCUUUUCCGCGCGGCUGUCGACGGAGGAGGGCUUGCGAAGCUUGGUCGGUCAUGCGGACCGGGCGGCAGCGCCAGCGGACCAGUCGCUGGGUCCUUCGAGGUACAACAGAGCCUAUGAGUUGAAGAUGAAUGAACGUUGUGAUGUUUUCCAAAAACAUCUGAGGAUGGCUGUGAUAAAACCACUAGGAGCACAACUGCAUGUAAUGAGCAUGUAGGUAGCUGCAGAUGAAUGUCCAAGUCCAUAACUGUUGUGGUUAAAAAUUCUUCAUUGCCUCGAGGCAUGCAGUUGGAAGGAAAAAUGAAGAAUUGGUCAAGAAGACAUGAAUAAAUACUUUAUUUAACAUUGAUCACCUCACAAUAAGUUAUGUAGAGAAAUACAUGCUUGAAUACUUUUAACUAUUGGGCAGUAAAGUCUGCUAUCUUUAAAAUAUAUUGAGUGUUUACCAUAAUUACUAGUCAGAUUUGUUUUUAGCAUACUUUAAGAAAGUAUGUUCUUUAUCAAUAAAUAAGUAUUUGGAAUCUCCUAAACACCUUAACAAAUUAUCCCUUACAAAUAAAGAUUUCACCUGUGACCUACAUA